GCAACGCGGCAAGGCAGCCGCUGAGGGAGGUGGCGAGGCAGGAGGCGGGACGGAGGGAGGGGACUGCGCACGGGGCGGAGAGAGGGGCGGGCGGCGGGGGAUGGAGCCACCGUGGGACCCCGCCGCGGAGAUGCCCAGCACCUUGGCCGGACCCGGAGCCCUCUUGGGUGUUGGGUCCUGGCGGAACGCAGCGCCGCUCUCUCUUCAUCCCGCCCGCUUCCCCCUCUCCUGCGCCCCCCCAGGCCCCUGCCUGCCCGUGGUGGUCUUUAAGUGCUCGCGCCCCUCCUCCCGGGGCUCCCAGUCCGUGGAGCAGCCACCUCUCCAGUCCCACAUUUUCUCGGUGAUCGUGGGACAUUCGCCGCCCUUCCACCCUAAGCUCAGUGAGUGCCAGGACCUGAGCCUCAUUCCCCAUGCGGGUCUUUAUCGUGGGAAUGCCACGCGCCCUGUCUCGGGUCCUCAUAAGGUCCAAGCGCGCGGGAGGCCGUGGACUCCUUGUUGAACUGCCGCAGGCACUGUGAGUGUCACGUCCGGAGGGUACUUCAUGCGUGAUUGGCCAAGAGCCCCAUGAUGCGCUCCACCUAAACAUCGCCUUCCAGGGGCCACAUGAGCCACAUCAUGUACCUUCUCCACUGGUGACCUUGGACUCUUCCUGCCCCUGAGGCUCCAGGGCCUGCCCUAUCUUUGCGGUGUCACCAUAGAAUGGGUGCCCUGUGCCCCAGAGUGACCCCUAUGUUCUAGCUGCCCACUGUCCGGGCUGGACUCUGGCGUUAGGACCCAGUCCUGCAGUCUCUGGGUCCUGUACUCGGUAGCCUGGGGAGGGCCGGGUGGACUCCAGAGGCCUCUGAGUUGGUAGAGGCUCCGCCAGGCAUUGGGGUUAGGUGGGAGGGCUGUCGAGAGGAGGGAGAGCCACCCGCAUGCAGAGCAGGCUUCUGGGGCCACUGGAUUGGUAAUGUCCUUUCUCCUCUGUCCACGCUCAGGAGCGGGGCUCCUGCUUCUGGGCCUUCAUUACAGAGAGGGUGAGGCUUGGCCCUAGCGGUAAGCUUUGGGUUCACUCAGCCGGUGGGUGGAGACAGAUGGCAGAGUCAGAGAGGAAGCCAAGGACCUGCCCCAAGAACUCCCCAGCUUCUGCAGAGGCCGCACCAGGAGAGACAGGGCUGGGGAUCGCAGGAGUAGGGAGAGGUCCAGAGAGGAGAGACUCUGUAGAUGAACAAGGGACGGGACUCCUGAGGAGGAGCCAGAACCCUGGGCCACAAGCCGAGAAAUGCAGCUUUGGAAGAUUUGCAAAGAGACCCCAUUAAGGGACAAAAGGAAGGUUUCUGAGUUGCAGAGAAACCUGGAGGCAGUGUGCUGGAGGAAUAUAAGGAGGCCAGCAUAAGGGUUCCCCGGCUAUGUGGACCCUGGUGGCCAGUGGUCCUGGGUCCCGUGUUGAGAGUGUGGCUGAUCCUUGGUGCUGUAUCAGGCCCCUGCCUUCUUGCAUAGGAGGACCCGUGCUUCCUUCUUUCUUGCUUUCCCCUGAGCCUCAGGCUCCACCAGAGCGAGGGCUGUGCUGUCUUCCUUCUGGUCCGCAGCUUCCACACCGCUGGACUCAACAGUAGCCUCUUCAGUGAUUGUUGGAGGGACCCAGAAUUGAUCGCCUCAGAAAGUCAACUGCUGUCCCCAGGGAGGAUCACAGGACCAGGAUGUUCCUGCCUUGGCUUCCCCUCAAGAAUGAACUGUGACCUGUAAGACGAAGUGAACUCUUUUUCUGUCGCCUAAGUCGCUUUUGGUCGCGGUGUUUAUCACGGCAACAGAAAGCCAAGUGGAACAAACUGGGAUGGUGAUCUUCUGGAGAAAACCUUCAUGUUUAAAAGCUCCUUCAGACCCGUCAGUGAAACGCCGAGUCCACAGAGAGACAUUCUUUAUGCUGAAGUUUCAUGCAAAAUGCAUAGCAAGACUGCAACACUUUUCAGAUCGUUGACAAAAAGCUCAUCCUCCCACCCAUGUCCAACGCACAUACGAUGUGGGAAAUGCAUGUAUAACGAAGUGCCCUGGAAUAAACCUGAGCCCGGAUUGCUCAGGUUCUGGGAGGAUAUCAGCCUUGUAUGGCUUUGUGAUCGGCAGAUGAGGCUGUGGUAGGAGGCAAGAGCUGUUGAGAGGAACCCACCCACACCCUCGGUGCCAGCGUCCAGGAAGAGGGCUUGCAAUGAGGCAGAGCUGGGUCCAGGCUGGAGACAAAGGAUUGAGGGGCCAGUGUGACCCAAACGGCAAGGUUCUCUCCUGUGUGGAGCAUCAGGCAAGCUGUGAAAGAGAGGAGAGAACUACAAAUCACUGAUAGGAGUUCACAAUCUGACUAUGUAAAGACCUCCCAGCAUUCCCUGCAACAAGAUGUGACUAAAAAUCAGCAGAGAGGGGCUGAAGAGCUGACUCAGUGGUUAAGAGCACACAUUGCUCUUGAAGAGGAUCCAAGUUCGGUUCCCAGGAUCCACAUCAGUCAGUUUACCAUUGCCUGUAACUGCAACUCCGGAGCAUUCCAGGGAAUCUGAUGCUUACGGCUCCAUGGGCACCUGAACUCGUGUGUGCACGCGCACGCGCGCACGCGCACACACACACACACACACACACACACACACACACACACACACAAACAUGCACAAGAAAAUCUUAUUAAAAUAAUAGUGUAAAAAUCUCAGCAAAUGAGUGCUGUAGAGAUAGCUCAGCUAGGCCCUGAGUUUAUCUCCAGCAGGGGCAGGAACACCCACCAGUGUCUUCUAGAAAACAAAAACAAAACAAAAAACAAAAUGAAACAAAACCCAUGAAAACAGUCUCCCUCCCUCUGGUCUCCUCUUCACGUGGAAACAGCGGACAGGCUUGCAAGCAGCCUGCACUCUGGCUGCAUCCGUUAUGUUCCUGCAGGCCGGGUGGGAGGCGCCUGCUUCUUGAGCUGAGAGGUGCAUACUCAUUGUGGACAGAAUCUCUGUCUUCCAUUCCCUCUCCUCAGCCUCCAGGGGCUUCCGGUCAUCUGCUAUGCAGACCUGGACAAGGCCUGGGGUUGGGGGGGGGUCUGUUUCUUUUCUCUUUGCUGUGACAAAACUACCCAAUUCAAAAGCAACUUGAAGAAGAAAGGGUUUAUUUGGGGCCCCAGUUGGAGGCCACUGUUGAUCGCGAUGGGAAAGCCAGGGCGGCAGAGCAUGCGGCGGCGGCUGGUCACAUUGCAUCCACAACUGGGAAGCAUAGAGAGGAAGGCAGGUGCUCGGCUGGCUUUUUCCUUCUGAUUCAGCCCAGGACUCCAGUGUAUGGGAUGGUGCCAGUCACAUGCAGGGUCGCUCUUCUCUCCUCCACGAAUCUCUCUGGAAAUUCCCUCACAGACACCCCCAGAGGUGUGUUUCCACUCUAAACCUUGUCAAGUAGACAAUGGAGAUUACCAUCACCGCCUUGCAGGACCCAGAGGGCCAUAGACUGGGGAGUGGGGGUCCAGACUGCCCCUGGGGCCAGUUUCUGUCUCUGGUCUUGGGCAGGUUACGGGGUUUGUUGAGCCUUGGUUUCCUGUAUGUCAAAUGGAAGAGUCUUCAAGUGGGGUGGAGUCAACUAAGAUAUCCAACUCUGGGCAGGGCAGUGGGGGCCUUUCCAGAAAGGAUUUACUCAUGAGGGGGAAAGACCUUCCUCACAGUAGGUGGCACCUUCUGUGGGCCCAGAGACCUGAGGAGGACUGCUUGCCUGCCUUCCUGCCUAGCUGGAGAGUG